CCUACGGGAGGCUGCAGUGGGGAAUCUUGCACAAUGGAGGAAACUCUGAUGCAGCGACGCCGCGUGAGUGAUGAAGCCCUUCGGGGUGUAAAGCUCUUUCGGCAGGAACGCGGUACCUGAAGAAGAAGCUGCGGCUAACUACGUGCCAGCAGCCGCGGUAAUACGUAGGCAGCAAGCGUUGUUCGGAGUUACUGGGCGUAAAGAGUGUGUAGGCGGUUCUCUAAGUUCCGUGUGAAAUCUCCCGGCUUAACUGGGAGGGUGCGCGGAAAACUGGAGAGCUGGAGUAUGGGAGAGGAAAGCGGAAUUCCUGGUGUAGCGGUGAAAUGCGUAGAUAUCAGGAGGAACACCUGCGGUGUAGACGGCUUUCUGGACCAUACUGACGCUGAGACACGAAAGCGUGGGUAGCAAACAGGAUUAGAUACCCUUGUAGUC
rnacentral:rRNA from 1 species